rnacentral:rRNA from 1 species
GUGCCAGCCGCCGCGGUAAGACGUAGGAGGCGAGCGUUGUCCGGAUUCAUUGGGCGUAAAGAGCACGCAGGCGGUUUGGCAAGUCGGAUGUGAAAACCCGAAGCUCAACUUCGGGCGUGCAUCCGAAACUGCCCGACUAGAGGUAGGUAGGGGAGAUCGGAAUUCCUGGUGUAGCGGUGAAAUGCGCAGAUAUCAGGAGGAACACCGGUGGCGAAGGCGGAUCUCUGGGCCUUACCUGACGCUCAGGUGCGAAAGCUAGGGGAGCGAACAGGAUUAGAUACCCUUGUAGUCC